rnacentral:tRNA from 1 species
GAGAGGUAGCGAAGUGGUCAUAACGCGGUGGUCUUGAAAACCAUUUGAGUUCAUAGCUCACAAGGGUUCGAAUCCCUUCCUCUCC